rnacentral:rRNA from 1 species
UAGGGAAUCUUCCGCAAUGGACGCAAGUCUGACGGAGCAACGCCGCGUGAGUGAAGAAGGUUUUCGGAUCGUAAAACUCUGUUGUUAGAGAAGAACAAGUGCUAGAGUAACUGUUAGCGCCUUGACGGUAUCUAACCAGAAAGCCACGGCUAACUACGUGCCAGCAGCCGCGGUAAUACGUAGGUGGCAAGCGUUGUCCGGAUUUAUUGGGCGUAAAGCGAGCGCAGGCGGUUCCUUAAGUCUGAUGUGAAAGCCCCCGGCUCAACCGGGGAGGGUCAUUGGAAACUGGGGAACUUGAGUGCAGAAGAGGAGAGUGGAAUUCCAUGUGUAGCGGUGAAAUGCGUAGAUAUAUGGAGGAACACCAGUGGCGAAGGCGACUCUCUGGUCUGUAACUGACGCUGAGGCUCGAAAGCGUGGGUAGCAAACAGGAUUAGAUACCCUGGUAGUCCACGCCGUAAACGAUGAGUGCUAAGUGUUGGAGGGUUUCCGCCCUUCAGUGCUGCAGUUAACGCAUUAAGCACUCCGCCUGGGGAGUACGACCGCAAGGUUUG